GACGAACGCUGGCGGCGUGCUUAACACAUGCAAGUCGAACGGAAAGGCCCUGCUUUUGUGGGGUGCUCGAGUGGCGAACGGGUGAGUAACACGUGAGUAACCUGCCCUUGACUUUGGGAUAACUUCAGGAAACUGGGGCUAAUACCGGAUAGGAGCUCCUGCUGCAUGGUGGGGGUUGGAAAGUUUCGGCGGUUGGGGAUGGACUCGCGGCUGAUCAGCUUGUUGGUGGGGUAGUGGCUUACCAAGGCUUUGACGGGUAGCCGGCCUGAGAGGGUGACCGGCCACAUUGGGACUGAGAUACGGCCCAGACUCCUACGGGAGGCAGCAGUGGGGAAUAUUACACAAUGGGCGGAAGCCUGAUGCAGCAACGCCGCGUGCGGGAUGACGGCCUUCGGGUUGUAAACCGCUUUCGCCUGUGACGAAGCGUGAGUGACGGUAAUGGGUAAAGAAGCACCGGCUAACUACGUG
rnacentral:rRNA from 1 species